UACGUAGGGGGCUAGCGUUGUCCGGAUUUAUUGGGCGUAAAGAGCGUGUAGGCGGCCAGAUAGGUCUGCUGUGAAAACUCGAGGCUCAACCUCGAGAUGUCGGCGGAAACCAUCUGGCUAGAGUCCGGAAGAGGAGAGUGGAAUUCCUGGUGUAGCGGUGAAAUUCGUAGAUAUCGGGAGGAACACCAGUGGCGAAGGCGGCGACCUGGGCCAAUAUUGACGCUGAGGUGCGAAAGCGUGGGGAGCAAACAGG
rnacentral:rRNA from 1 species